GUAACUGCGAGUGAAGCGGGAAGAGCUCAAAUUUAAAAUCUGGCGGCUUUUUUCGGUCGUCCGAGUUGUAAUCUGGAGAGGCAUUUUCCGCGUUGGACCGUGCACAAGUCUCCUGGAACGGAGCGUCAUAGAGGGUGAGAAUCCCGUCCAUGACACGGACCGCCAAUGCUCUGUGAUAUGCUUUCGAAGAGUCGCGUUGUUUGGGAAUGCAGCGCAAAACGGGUGGUAAAUUCCAUCUAAAGCUAAAUAUUGGCGAGAGACCGAUAGCGAACAAGUACCGUGAGGGAAAGAUGAAAAGCACUUUGAAAAGAGAGUUAAACAGUACGUGAAAUUGUUGAAAGGGAAACGCUUGAAGUCAGUCGCGUUCCUUGGAACUCAGCCUCGCCUUCGGGUUUGGUGUACUUUCCAUGUGAACGGGUCAACGUCAAUUUUGGCCGGUGGACAAAGGCGGGGGGAACGUAGCGUCGCUUCGGCGACGUGUUAUAGCCCCUUGUUGUAUGCACCGGCUGGGAUUGAGGACCGCAGCACGCCCUUUUUUGUGGCCGUGGGCUCGCUCUACGUACCGUGCUUAGGACGUUGGCAUAAUGGCUUUAAGCGACCCGUCUUGAAACACGGACCAAGGAGUCUAACAUGCUUGCGAGUGUUCGGGUGGAAAACCCUUGCGCGUAAUGAAGGUGAAAGGUUAGGAGCCCCUCGAGGGGGGGGUGCACUGACGCCCGGCCCUGAAGUUCUCUGACGGCGCUGCGGCAGAGCAAGCAUGUUGGGACCCGAAAGAUGGUGAACUAUGCCUGAAUAGGGCGAAGCCAGAGGAAACUCUGGUGGAGGCUCGUAGCGAUUCUGACGUGCAAAUCGAUCGUCAAAUUUGGGUAUA
rnacentral:rRNA from 1 species